rnacentral:rRNA from 1 species
GAUGAACGCUGGCGGCGUGCCUAAUACAUGCAAGUCGAGCGAACAGAUGAGGAGCUUGCUCCUCUGACGUUAGCGGCGGACGGGUGAGUAACACGUGGAUAACCUACCUAUAAGACUGGGAUAACUUCGGGAAACCGGAGCUAAUACCGGAUAAUAUAUUGAACCGCAUGGUUCAAUAGUGAAAGACGGUUUUGCUGUCACUUAUAGAUGGAUCCGCGCCGCAUUAGCUAGUUGGUAAGGUAACGGCUUACCAAGGCAACGAUGCGUAGCCGACCUGAGAGGGGGUGCGCCCCACUUGGACUUGGAACACGGCCCAGCCCCCUACGGGGGGCAGCAGGAGGGAAUUUUCCGCAAGGGGGGAAAGCCUGCCGGGGCAACCCCGGGGGGGUGAAGAAGGUUUUCGGUUCGUAAAACUCUUUUUUUAGGGAAAAAAAAAUUUGUAAGAAACUUUGCACGUUUGGACGGUACCAAAGCAGAAAGCCCCGGUAAACUACGG